GUUUGAACUAAAUAUAUUAUUUAGAUAUUCUAAACAUAUUAAGAAAAAGGAAAAUAAAAAACUAAAAAUCAAGCAUAUACAAUUUAAAAUGGUUCAACAAAUUAUCGAACAGCAAAGUGAAAUGGUAAAGUUUUCAAUCAAUAUGCAAUGUUACAACCUUCACAGCAAAAGUUAUAGCUUUGGGAAGACUGACAGGCAAUAGCAACCCUCUACGUG
rnacentral:misc_RNA from 1 species